UGAGUACGAGACGCUACGGCGUUGAAGCAGUGUAUGUCAGACUUCCAAGAAAAGCUCGCAAUGUCAUAAACAAAUAAUGCCUGUACCAUAACCGACACAGGUGGGUAGGUAGAGUAUACUAAGGGGCGCGAGAUAACUCUCUCUAAGGAACUCGGCAAAAUGACUCCGUAACUUCGGGAGAGGGAGUGCCUUAUUUUUAUAAGGUUGCAAUAACAAGAUCCAAGCAACUGUUUACCAAAAACACAGGUCUCCGCUAAGUCGUAAGACGAUGUAUGGGGGCUGACGCCUGCCCAGUGCCAGAAGGUUAAAGAAGUUGGUUAGCAAUAGCGAAGCUGAUAACUGAAGCCCUGGUGAACGGCGGCCGUAACAAUAACGGUCCUAAGGUAGCGAAAUUCCUUGUCGGGUAAGUUCCGACCCGCACGAAAGGCGUAAUGAUUUGGAUGCUGUCUCGGAGAGGGGCUCGGUGAAAUAGACUUGUCUGUGAAGAUGCGGACUACCUGCAUCAGGACAGAAAGACCCUAUGAAGCUUUACUGUAACUUGAAAUUGAAAUUGGACUUUACUUGCGCAGUAUAGGUGGCAGGCGUUGAUUUUAUUCUUGCGGGAAUUAGGAGCCAUCAGUGAGAUACCACUCUGGUAAUGUUAGAUUUCUAACUUUGUAUCAUAAUCUGGUCAAAGAACAGUUUCAGGCGGGCAGUUUGACUGGGGCGGUCGCCUCCCAAACGGUAACGGAGGCGUACAAAGGUUCCCUCUGAACGUGUAGAAAUCGUAUCUAGAGUGUAAAGGCAUAAGGAAGCUUGACUGUGAGACCUACAAGUCGAGCAGGGACGAAAGUCGGUCUUAGUGAUCUGACGGUGCUGAGUGGAAAGGCCGUCACUCAACGGAUAAAAGUUACUCUAGGAUAACAGGCUGAUCUCCCCCAAGAGUUCACAUCGACGGGGAGGUUUGGCACCUCGAUGUCGGCUCAUCGCAUCCUGGGGCGGUAGUACGUCCCAAGGGUUGGGCUGUUCGCCCAUGAAAGCGGUACGCGAGCUGGGUUCAGAACGUCGUGAGACAGUUCGGUCCAUAUCCGGUGUAGGCGUUAGAAUAUUGAGAGGAUCCUUCUUUAGUACGAGAGGACCGAGAAGGACAUACCUCUGGUGUACCAGUUAUCGUGCCAACGGUAAACGCUGGGUAGCUAUGUAUGGAAAGGAUAACCGCUGAAAGCAUCUAAGUGGGAAGCCUACCUCAAGAUAAG
rnacentral:rRNA from 1 species